CGGGAAGAGCAGAGUCUCCAGCAAGCUGGGAAAGAGGAAGUACUUUCAACAAUUUGUGAAGGGUUUGUUUCUGUUGCCGCUUUCUUCCCUGGUCAGGCUGUGGAAGUGUUAACGAAUCUGUGAAAUGUUUGUGAUGACUUCCUCAUUAGUCUGUUUAACUGCAGAACUUCCUUAUUAAAUGCGUUACUGAAAAAAAAAAAAAACCUAAAUAAAACCAGAAAUGCAGCCUAUACCGCAAGAUUAGACCAUCAUACCAGUACUGAAUUCUGUGCCCAUGGGAAGAGAGAUCUGCUGAGGAUGUUGCGCUGUGCCUCAGAUUUACCGGAGAUCAGCUUAUUAGAAAUGUGUGAAGACUGUGGAUGCUGCACUAGAGGAAGACAGCUGACAUGGAGCCCUCCUUCCUUGACUGCAUUGACAAAGUAGGUGACAAGAAGGGCUAGUCAGCACAAGGGAGCGAAAGACGUCAUUGGAGUAGAUAUGGAGACAGCAGGACAUCCUGAAGGAAGUCAAACAGGCCAGCCAAAGCUGGAAAGUGUGAAAAACAAAAGGUAUGAUCUCCAGGAUCAGCGUUGGUCAUGAGAGGGCAGCCCUGGUUUAAAAAAGGAGCUUGAAAGCUAGAAGUGGAAGCAACAGCAGCAGGAUGUUCUGCCUGACCCGGCGGGCCUCAUUGCACAGUUUGCCCUUGCAGCAGUUCAUUAGUCCGGAUAAACCAGGAAUCUGCAUGGAUUGAGAAAUGCAAACAUUUUUGGAAGCGCAUCCCUUCCUCAGUAUCUUAAGUCCCUGUGUUUCAACUGAAAGAAAGAAGGAAAAACAAGAUUAAACAAUGAGAGCCUGCAAGGCGUGAUAUAGUAAGUAAAAGAGAAAUGCGCAAAAACAGACUGCUAAGGCUAGACCAACUAAAAAUUAUGCACAAUUUACUCUGAGCUCUCGACCGGUGGGUUGUAGAUUCAAUCCUAGAUGCUGCUGUACUCCCACAAUGUAGAAACAAAAUAUCUUAGAUCUUGUGAACAACGACCCUUACUACCAAAUCAAAGGAGCUUGGUUAGUCUAGGCUUCUUGAUGAAACUACGGAGAAGCUGCAGUUUGACUCACCUACAACCUUCAGACAACGGUCUUCAAUGCCAAGGCACUUCACAGUGUCUCUGCAGUCCUCUCCCAUGCAUCCAUAACACUCCAGACCAGAAGGGGUAUAUAUUUUGCUGUAGCAGUGCUGGAGUGGUUAAAGAUGAUUCUGCUGUUAAUUCCACUGCCCCUGUUUUCCCCAUUUGCUUACCUUAAGGCCAUUUAAUGGUUUUGUCAGAGUGACCCAAUAUCUCCCCAAUUUAAAAUACCCAAUUAUGUUCCCUACCUCCCCCACAGCUCAGAAGAGCCGAAGGUUAAGUGGGAGAAUUCCUCCUCCGAUCGCCACGACCGAGCCAGCUUCCUCCAUUCCACCCAGAGUGAAUAUCAGUGAGUGUCUAUGAUAGCUCCCCUGCCCUCCAUGCAGUUUAAUCUACAUACUGUAAUUUGAAUACUAUUACCUGGAACUGACCCAGUGUUGCACAAAUCUGUGGUGCAACGUCUUUCAUUCACAGUUGUCCUUCUGAUUCCAAAGAUAACGGAUACUGGCCCAUUGCGGGCUUCAGAUUCUGAGCACGACUCUGUUGAUCGUUUUUUUAGUACCGGCUGAAAAACAAGGGGGCACUUUUCACAGCCUGUCUUUCAUGUUUUAUUGUGGGUUUUCUAUCUAUCUAUGUAUCUCUGGAGUUUACUUUCUAUCUAUGUGCAGCUCCUAUAGGAAGUAUUCACCCCCCUUGGAC